rnacentral:lncRNA from 1 species
UCUAAACGCAGAGAGCAUCUCUUCCGAAUGCCUCACCACGGUCAGAGAGGGCGGAGAGAGAAGAAGUCGCCGCCACCGUCAAAAGCCGGAGUUCUCCUGGGUCGCUAGGAACCUGUACGCGAAGGAAUCAGGCGCGGUGAAGACUUUGUACCCAGGGUAUUGCUCAACGGAGCAGGAUCUCCGCCCCGGUGCCGCGAUUCGCCGUGAAUCGAAGCCUCCGCGCCAUCAGGUACUCCCCUGGCCUUCGCUACCAUCUUCCCCCUCCCUGCGUAGCAGUUCGUGGUGUCCAUCUUAGAGCAGUAGGGCAUGGGUAAUCGCUCACCGGAAUACGGAAGCCGCCGCAGAGGCGCCAUCGACGUGGCCAGCCUCGGCCUCCACUUCGUUGUCGGCAUGGAUGCGUUCUUCUAUUUUGCCCUGUCCACCGCUUCAUAUAAUGCUCGUCGGUAUAGGAAUGUUCGACCACAAGGGCGGCACUGCGGUGAUUUCCUGCCGGCGCAUGACCGUCGCGACAAUGGGCAGCGCCGCCGUCAGUGCGGAAUCGGGCAGAGUGGAGGAGUCCCAGGCUGUUCCAUUUAGGCAAUGUUAGUUGUGUGCUAAUUUAUAGGGAUUGAGCGAGAUUAAAUUCAGUACAAGUCAAAUUUCUCUAGAUCCCUUCUAAUUCUCAUCAAUCUCUAUGAUUUUAGAAUCAAACGGAACGUUUCAGAUUAGAUGAGAGGUAAUGGUUUGACAGGGGCGAUGUGUGUGGUUCGAUCAUGGAUGUGCGAUCACGAUCGUGGCAAUGACAUGGAUGUCUCUGGUCUGUUGAUCUGGAAUCCAACGGUGGAGUGUGCUACCGGUUCGGUCUCUAAUCUGAGUCGUGGUUCGGUGGCUGCAUGGCUCUAGAUCCGCUCAGGGUUAUAACAGUAGACUAUAACUACGAAAGCGUCCCUGAGUUUUUACAUAAUAGACCCAUCGAUUAUUCGUGUGCAAAUAAAUUGCAGAUGGAUCCUUGGUAUUUUCAAAAUAAACCCUAGAAGUUAUUUUAGGUAUAGAAUUAAUAUAAAAAUGCGUAAAAACUUGCAUAAAUCAUAUCUUGCUCAUUUUAACUCUGUUUUAUUUCGUUCAAGUUGCGUUAAGUUCGUAAUAAUAUUGCCUAAACUUUAGUUACAUUAUUUUUAUCACGCAACAUGUUUUCAAAAAUAAGUAACUAUACUUGUUUAACCUAAGUUUAUGGGAUUCACUUUUCUAAUCUAAGUAUAGUAUUUUAAUUUGACCCAUCUAUAAUUUGACUAAAAUAAGAUUUCUAAUCAAGAUAAAACUUGAAUUAAAAGUUAAAUUUGUUAUUUAUUUAGAAUAUCUUUUCUACACAUAAUUUGUAUUAAUCAAAAUAACAUAGUUCAAUACUUAAUCACAUAAAACUUCCAAAAACCAUAUCAUUUUAACUAUAACUUCGAUUUUAGUUGUUCUCGAAUCUAUGAUCUCGUAGCGACGUGUAAAAUAAUAAUGUGUGAAUUGUUUUCAUCUUUGGUGUAAUGUUACCAUAUCCAUUAUUUGCUUGAUUGUAUGUAUUGUUGCGCAUAGAAGCGAGAUGGCGAGGAAUCUGUCACACUUGAAUUUAAGGGGCAAAUCCAAGUGUGUCUCAUAUGUGCACAAUUGAUCUUAUUAACGAACUGGUAUGUUCUAUAGGAUCUUGGAUUAACGAUCAACGUCUGAGAUUUUAAGUCGCUUCGAUGAGCAAUUAGUGCAAUUCCAUGGAUGCUCCCGGUUAGUCGACUCAUGCCUAGGUUCUAUAUGCACCAGUGAUCGCCCCGAACCCAACCACGGGGUCACAUCGAUGGGGAUUGCGCGGAUCGACGAGUGACCGCUUACACACCCUUGUCUCCCUUUCUCGAUUCUCGGUGGUUGGUUAUCUCUGUACCUAGCUAGGGUUUGUUGGACAACGGGGGUGUCCUAACUUAUACCCUAGAGCAAACGAGAUGGGAAUCAGAAUCGGAUUUCACACCUCGGUUGUUGCUCGCGAGUUGGGAGAUGACCCUGUCCGGCGGUGUGGGGGAUGGAUAUCUACAGAGUCCACACGCGCAUGAAAACACGUCUAGGGCCACCUAGCAGGCAUCCCCUGGGGCAUCUUGUGGUGGGCCGUCCGAAAGUAACCAGGUGAAGCAAGCCCAUUCUGAACUAGUAAAGGCCAAUGUCCGAGUUAGGUGCCACGAGAGCACGUGUAUGUCAGGCAUGACGUUUGCGCCCACCCGACAUGCUAAGUCUCCGGCGGUAACUUGGGCGGAUGAGCGUAGUGAGUUCCUAAGAUGUAGGAGGACAAUUCGCUACAAAUCGGGAGAUUGGCGAACAUAUUACGUUUACCACUUGUGCGGGGAUAGCUAUCCUUGGCCGUGUAUAUAUGGCCAAAAAGCACCCCUACCAUUUCAUCUUGCCUCAUCCCACCGUUCUCAUAGUUCACAGCUUGUAAUCUCAUCACAAUACCAAGGUCCCCGCAGGACGUAGGGUGUUACGCCUCUCGCGCGGCCCGAACCUAUACAAGCUUGUGUGUUUCUCCCAUCGUGCCACCGCACGAACCAUCGAGUCACGAUUAACGACGCUGUCCUGCCCAAAAGCAUCACGAGGGUAACCCCGUGGUGUGCGGUCGGGUAACAAACACCAACAGCUAGCGCGCUAGGUAGGGGGGGGGCGACAUUGAUGAGCGCUGACUCCAUGGCAGUCACUUUCAAGAGCAUGAUCACCUUCAACCCAGGAGCAGUCUUCUGCUUCGAAACCAUCUCCGGUGUCACAGUGUAAAGCCCAAAACUUGUAUAGGAGAAAAAUAAUAAAAUAAAUAAAUAAAUGUAUGUACAUGUUGGUAAUUUGGGAUGAUGGAGCCCUAGGAGAUUAUUUGGUUACAUUUUCUUUUGUUUGUAUAUACAAUUGAUGGGAAUAAGUUAGGCAAUUAACAAAUAAAUAAAUAAUGAAAUAUGCAUCUCAUGCUGAGAUCUUGUAUUUUUGCAUUUAUAUUCAAAUUUGUGAGAUAAGUUUAAAUUUGGAAAAUUAGAAUUUUGAAAAUAGAAAUAGAAAGGAAGAAUAGAAAUUAUAAAUGAAAAAAGGAAGAAGCAGCCAGCUGGGCCGCCACUUCACUUUUUGGCCCAGUCAUCUACGCGCGCGGCUCAGCUCUCGUCUCCCCGCAGUGGUGCCGACAGCCUGGUCCUACAUGGCAGCCUCACCGGCCGUUCUUUCCGUGCGCGCGUUAUACUGGCAGCUAGGGCCCACUCGCCAGCCCCUCUCGGUUGGGCAGUCACUGCCGGUUGGGCCCACUUGGCGGGUUGCCGUCACCACCGAAGCUGGCGGAGCUCGUAACCACCUUCGUCGAUGUUGCCGGAGCUUUGGGGGCUGCCCGGAUGGGUUCUUGCUUCAUCCAUGGGAAUACAAACCCCCCAAACCUUCGUCCUCCUAACUCCUCCACCCGAAUCACACCCAGGAAUGUUGAGAGUCACGGCGAGUUUGCCAGGCAGUGAGGGUAUUGGGCCGCCGGACUCCCAUCGCGUAUUUGGCAUCGUCAGGUCCUCAAACUCGGGUUCGUGAGCUCAGCCAUGUCAUGGGGAAGUUGUCUAUGUCCUCGUCGGGCGGAGAAAUCAAUCGGGGAUCCCGGAAUUUCUCACCGGAGUCAUAGUAUCACGGUGAUGCCGCUCGUCGCCGCGGACCAGACCAUUCCCUGCGAUAAUUAGCGGUAAUUGCACAACAUCUAGUUCGUAAUCUGCUAUAGUACUUCUGGAUCCUUGGGCCGGUCGGGGGAGUACCUGUAGUGCUAUUUUGGGUUGCUCGCCGGCGAGCCCCGCUGUGGGGGGGAAGGGCGGUGGCGCGUUCGGCCGCCACGGGGAGAAGACGAUAGCCGCCUACCGUCCGUUCCAUAGUGGACGGAUGAGAUUAGAUGGGGAUCUGUGAUGGUUCGGACCGUUGAUCUGGUCGCGGUCGGCUCGGAUUAGGUAGAGGAAACGUUUCAGCACGGAUGAAUCUGUGUCGUCCGAUCUAGAUUGGACGAGUACAGUCUUGUCUCGAGUAUUUAAAAUAUACACAGCUGAACCCUAGGUCUAUGGCUGUGAUUUGAUCAAAGGAUAUCCCUUCAUCGUAUUAAAUCCAAGACAUCAGUCUGAGAUCAAGCGGUUCGAGGUAGGUUAGGGUCAUGCGCGAUCAUCGACCGUGGAUCUUAGAUCGUGUGGUCUACAUAAGAUACCGGUUCUAUUAACGACCGAUCUAAUCCAUGACGUCUAAUGUUGAUCGGGCAUUAGAGAUCUGGUUAUAUCCCUUCGAGGAUGUAACUUUGCGUAAGAGCCCCCGUGAAAAAUAGAAACUAACCCGUCGUCCACGCUGUAUGUAAAGUAGCUACGUCCGUGCCCUGGAAAUUCAUAAAACAACCCCUGGACUUCUUCAUUUUUAUGGACGCAAUCCAAGUUAAUCUCGAAUUCAAUAAAUUAAAACAGAAAAUGAUUUUUAUAUUAAAAUAAUUCUAGAAACUUGUUUAAAUCAUAGUAAAUCCAUUUAACUCCUUUUUGAUUCAUUCUAGUUGCAAUAAUUUUUUAUUAAUAUUGUCUAUCAACUGGUAACUCAGUUUUAUCAUGAAAUAUAGAUUAAAAUUAUUCAUUUGGUUUAUUCUAUAUCAACCACUUAAAACUUUGGAAAAUCAUAACUCUUUAACCGUAGCUCGAAUUUAGUGGUUCUCGAACUCGUGGUCUCGUUACGAUACGCAGAAUAUUAUAAUGCAUUAUAUUCUUCUGUUUGGUGUGUUGUUAAUUUCUCCUUUACCAUGUUUGUUUGUAUUGUUGCGAGUAGGCGAGCAAGCAACCGAGGACCCCCGUACCCAGCAGGUGGAAAAUACUGAGCAGGUGCUCGUUGAAGGCAAGUUGUGCCCUUGACCACUUUUAUUUACCUAAUAAUGUUCUCUAUAGUCACUAUGGCAUGUUUAAGCUCAAUUUUGAUGGGACCCAAUAGGUCACCCUAGUCUGCUUUACCAUAUGCCUUAUUCACCACUGAACUUUUUUGGGUAGUCUUGCUAUUGCUAUAUGUGGUUUUAGGUGUUGAUAUAAAAUUGACACAUGAUCAUUCUUUAUUAUUACUAUUGAUUAUUUAUUGUUCAUGAUAAGAUUACUAUGUUAAUUGGAACAUGGAGAACCACCCAGGAAAACAGUGCUACCACAAGGGUGGAAUGGGAUACCCUUGGCCAAGUAAUUAGGAAAACUAGGGAAGGAUUACAUUACCGGAAAGAGGCAAGCGGGGAGGCGUCGCUGCAGAGUAUAGGGAGGUUCUCGGGUCGGACUGCCUAGCUUUCCGGACGGGGGAUUCUGAAAGUCGCCUAGAGUGAAUAGGCGAAACCUGAAAACUAUAACUUUAAACCCGGACUUGAUCCCUUGAUCAGUGAUUAGAGCAAGAUGCACAAUUAUCGGAAUAUAAAACUAAGUCCUUUGCUUGCAAAUAGCAUUGUUUUCAAAGAAUGCGAAAUUAACAAAUCAGUACAACUAAUAAGUUUAUGGAAAAUAAAGCAAGAGGGCUUGGAUAAGAAGAGGAAUAACACAAGUUCUUUCUUACAAGGAGUUGCUUCUCUAAAUGAGAAUUUAACUUGAAGCAACACAAAAUAAUAUUAGCAAGGAAUAAUGCAAGAGAACUUAGAGAGGGAGAAUACAAACAAAUCACAAGCAAUAAACACAAGUGACACGGGUGAUUUGUUUUACCAAGGUUUGGUUCACCAAGAACCUAAUCCCUGUUGAGGAGUUCACUAAGGACAUGUCUUUUUCAACCCUUUCCCUCUAUCUACCGAUCACCAAGACCGGCGAGCUCUUCUUCUUAAUCUCAAGGAUCACUAAGACCCCACAAGGACCACCACACUCUUAGGUGUCUCUUGCUAGCUUUACAAGUCUCCAAAAUAUUAGAGGAAGAUGAAUGGGAGUCAAAACUCCACGCUUAAAUGAUCACAAGAACACACUUUCUCUCAAUGAUUCUCACAAGGCACUAUCGCUAAACUCACACGAGUAGCUCUCUUUUGCUUGAUCUCUCUUUUGUGGCACUUGUGAGGCUUUUUUGUGGCCUAAAUCUUGUGUAUGAGAUAGAUCAAUGAAUGGAGGUGGUUGGUAGGGCUUGGAUAUGUCAAUUAUAUGCCUUGAUAUGUUGCUUGGGCUCCCACACCUUGAAAUGGCCGGUUGGGUGGUAUUUAUAGCCACCAACCAUCUUGUAGCCAUUAGGGAAGGCUGCUGGCGAUGGGCGCACCGGACAGUCCGAUGCGCCACUGGACAGACACUGUUCCUUUUCCGGUGCGCCACCACGUCACCCAACCGUUGGAGCUUUGUCUUCUUGCGGCACCGGACAGUCCGGUGCCAUAUGACUUCGCGGCUCUGACUUCUGCCAUGCACUGUAGCUCACUGUAGCACUUUGCAGAGUCGACCGUUGCGUGCAGAUAGCCGUUGCCCACUGGCUAACCGGACACCGGACUGUCCGGUGAAUUAUAGCGGAGUGCGCCUUCGUUUUCUCGAGAGUGGCUGGUUUGAGUUGUACGGUCCUGGUGCACCGGACACAGUCCGGUGCGCCAUUCUUCAGCACACUCAAGUCCUUUUGCUCCGAUUAAAUUGUGUCCCUAACUUGAUUCUUUUAUUGGUUUGUGUUGAACCUUAUGCACCUUUAACACAUAAAUUCUAGACAAACUAGUUAGUCCAUAGGUUUGCGUUGGUCGUCAACCCCAAAAUUAAUUAUAGGAAAUGGUUAACCCAAUUUCCCUUUCAGAUUCCUAUGCUUCUUUAUUCCUGAAUCCGUAGCGGGUUUUCUCGAACUAGUGGAACUUUGGAAAGGUCUCGUAGCGCUACCCUGCCUCGUCUCCUCGGUAGAGAUGAAUGGGACUUCUAGACCCCUUGGCAAAUGGAUAGCAUGACUUGUGGGUAAAGAUGCGCAACCUCUGCAGAGUGUAAAACUGGUAUAUCAGCCGUGCUCACGGUCAUGGGCGGCUCAGACACUCACAUGAUUAAUUUAUGGAAGUAAAUUCAAUUUGUCAUUUGCAUCGCAUUGUGGUUUAUUAUUAAUUUUGAUCUACUAUUACUUUGGGUUGGUAUACACUUAUAUUUAGUAACUGCUAUAAAAUUUGACCAAUUUAUUAAAAGCAAUGCUCAGCUUUAACCAUUAAUUGUUGAUCAGCCUUACACUACACAUGAACUCCCACCUUUGGUGAGUUCAUGCACAUUAUUCCCCACAACUUUUUGAGCUAUGAUCUUUUGUGAGCUCACACUUGCGAUAUAUAACCCCCACAGGUGAAGAGCAGGUAGUCUAGGAGGAGGUCUACAACGAGGAAUACAAGCUUAUCUAGGUGGCGUCUCCUAGUCAGGCUGAUGGCGCCAAGGAAUAAUUAUUAGUUCGCUUUAUUAGUAUCAUUUAUUUUUAUAAGACACUUCCGCUAUGUAAUAAUAUUUAUGACAUUUAUCUCUAUACACUUGGUCAAUAUAUGUGCUGUUCUUCUUUGGCACACAUAUGAGACGCACCUGGCUUUAUCCUUUAAAUCUGGGUGUGACAGAAGUGGUAUCGGAGGAAAUGUUGACCGUAGGAUGAAACCUAGAUAGAACUGGACAAAACCCUUACCUACUUACCUUACUCUGAUUCUUUCCAUACUUUUCUUGAUCCUUCUCACCUUUGGCUGUUCUACACUGACUACUCUUAUCUUGCAACUCUAGAAAGACAAGACAAAUUUCACACCUUGGAAUCCUACAUCUAAGACUCCCUAAAGAGAUAGGAGACCUAAGACAAAAAUAUUUGCUCUAUCUAAAGUGUUUGGAUGUUUGUUCUGAUGAUAAAUGCUUGAUUUGCUUCUUUGAUUAACUGAAAUAGUAUAGCAGGGCAUUCUAGCUUGUACCACCAUAAGAUAAUGUAUUAGUAUUAGUAGGUGACACAAUAAUCUUCUGAGCUAGUAAAACCCCAAAAGAUCAUGUCUCGUAAUUACUCGUCUUAUCUGCAAUUCUAUUUUACCAUGUGUUUCUAACCUAAAUGGUCAAUAGCAGGAAGGGAGGCAUAAUCGAUCUACCUGCCAAUAACCGUCGCAGGAAGAUUGUUAACCAACCUCAACCAGAGAUGAAUCCUUCACCGAACCCUCCACCGGCUGGAGUAGAUCUAGUAGCUGCCACUCAGAUGCAACUGCUGCAACAAAUGGCAAACACCAUGAUAGAAAUGGCUCAGAUGCGACAAGAAUGUCAGGAGAUGCGCCAGGAGUUGCAGGAAAUGCGACAGGAACUCCGGCAGGAACGACUGGAACGGCAGCAACAACAACCACUACCUCCACCACCACCAGCUCCACCCCGGGACAAGCACCGGGAAUUCAUGAGUCACAAGCCACCUACAUUCUCCAACUCUCCAGAUCCUCUUCAGGCUGAUGACUGGCUAAAGACAGUAGAUAAAAUGCUCAACAUUGCUCAAUGUACUGAUCAGGAGAAAGUGCUCUAUGCGUCGGGUCGUCUCACUGGCCCCGCUGCUGAUUGGUGGGACUCUUACUGUGCUGCCCAUGCUGCUGCCAACACUAUCACCUGGGCAGAAUUCUCUACACAAUUCAGGAACUAUCAUAUUCCUGCAAGCUUGAUGAAAAUUAAAAAGAAGGAAUUCUUGUCACUUAAGCAAGGCAACAUGACAGUUAGUGAAUACCAUGAUAAAUUCAUUCAGCUGUCAAGGUAUGCUCCCGACGAGGUUGCUGAUGAUGAAAGGAAGCAGGAGCAGUUCAUGGAGGGACUCAUUGGGCCACUCCAGUACCAGCUGGUAUCUCACACCUUCUCAUCUUUCCAGAGGCUUCUGGACAAGGCUAUAGCUGUUGAACACAAACGUGUUCAGCUAGGCGAGAUGAAAAGGAAGACUAUUACCCAGGGACAGGGGAGCAGUAGCGUCCGCCGUCGCUAUGUUCCACCCCAGGGUACACCAGCUCGUCCUGGAGGAGGGCAACAGUCCUACCAGCGACCUGCUCAGCAGACACCACAGGCGACACCGCAGACUCCGCAUACUCGUCAGGAUGCCCCCACUGUCACCCCGGCGAGACCUACAGGACAGGGCACUGCUACAGACACCAUAUGCUUCAAGUGUGGCGAGAUUGGUCACUAUGCUAAUGUUUGUCCGAAGAGGAACCCCAACACACCGGCUCGUGGUAAUUCUCAAGUCAAGCAGACACAGACUCUAGGAAGCAACCGUGGCUAUAGCAUCGCUAAGGUUAAUCAAAUCAAUGUUGAAGCUACUGAGGAUGGUCCUAACAUCGUCAUUGGUACAUUCUUCAUUAAUUCCAUGCUAGCUACUAUACUUUUUUAUUCUGGAGCUUCGCAUUCAUUCAUAUCUGCUCGUUAUGUUCUUGCAAAUAGUCUACCUUACCUUGCCCUGCAUAGACCUAUGAUAGUCAUUACACCUAAAGGGGCUUAUGAAGCAACAUAUAUGAGUCAUAGAAUAGAAUUAACAAUUUUAGGAAGAAAGUUUUGGGCUAUGCCUGUAGUGCUAGAAGAAAGUAUAAUAGACUUAAUCCUUGGCAUGAACUGGUUAAAACAGUGGAAUGCAGUAAUACAUUGUGCUAGAGGAACAGUAGAACUUUCUAGUCCUGAUGGGGAUAGGUUUGAAGUCACAGUUGCACCACCCACAUCUAACCAUGGCUUGUGGGUAAAGAUGUGCAACCUCUGCAGAGUGUAAAACUGGUAUAUCAGCCGUGCUCAUGGUCAUGAGCGGCUCAGACACUCACAUGAUUAAUUUAUGGAACUAAAUUCAAUUUGUCAUUUGCAUCGCAUUGUGGUUUAUUAUUAAUUUUGAUCUACUAUUACUUUGGGUUGGUAUACACUUAUAUUUAGUAACUGCUAAUAAAAUUUGACCAACUUAUUAAAAGCAAUGCUCAGCUUUAACCAUUAAUUGUUGAUCAGCCUUACACUACACAUGAACUCCCACCUUUGGUGAGUUCAUGCACAUUAUUCCCCACAACUUGUUAGCUAUGAUCUUUUGUGAGCUCAUCCUUGCAAUAUAUAAACUCCCCCACAGGUGAAGAGCAGGUAGUCCAAGAGGAAGUCUACAACGAGGAGUACGAGCUUAUCUAGGUGGCAUCUCCGAGUCAGCUUGAUGGCGCCAAUGAAUAAUUAUUAGUUCGCUUUAUUGUUAUCAUUUAUUUUUGUAAGACACUUCCGCUAUGUAAUAAUAUUUGUGACAUUUAUCUCUAUACGCUUGGUCAUUAUAUGUGUUGUUCUUCUUUGGCGCACAUAUGAG